GACAGAGGGGGCGAGCGUUGUCCGGAGUCACCGGGCGUAAAGCGCGCGCAGGCGGCAACCUUAGUGUCGAGUGAAAGCCCCCGGCUCAACCGGGGGAGGCCAUGGCAAACUGGGUCGCUCGAGCUGCGGAGAGGCCCCUCGAAUUGCCGGUGUAGCGGUGAAAUGCGUAGAGAUCGGCAGGAAGACCAAGGGGGAAGCCAGGGGGCUGGCCGCAGGCUGACGCUGAGGCGCGACAGCGUGGGGAGCAAACCGG
rnacentral:rRNA from 1 species